AGGAUUCACUAUUUGGUAGUCGUGGAGAAUGUCGGCAAUCUUUCUUGUAGGAAGAGAAAAGAUGCUGGAGUGACAGUUCUUUGAGGUAAGCAGUUUACUUGGAUUCCCCAUUAAUAGUCUAUCUCUCUUCUCCUGCAAUGCUUUAGAUUUCCGUCCACGUUGAUGCCGUUUAGAGGAGUGGAGAGCGCUAAUGUUUUGUGUGUAAG